UACGGGGGGGGGCAAGCGUUGUUCGGAAUUACUGGGCGUAAAGGGUUCGUAGGUGGCUCGCUAAGUCAGACGUGAAAUCCCUCAGCUUAACUGGGGAACUGCGUCCGAUACUGAAAGGCUUGAAUCCGGGAGAGGGAUGUGGAAUUCCAGGUGUAGCGGUGAAAUGCGUAGAUAUCUGGAGGAACACCGGUGGCGAAAGCGGCGCGCUGGACCACUACUGACGCUGAGGAACGAAAGCUAGGGGAGCAAACAGGAGUUAGAAA
rnacentral:rRNA from 1 species